CGAAAACUGUUCGUUCCGAUUUAAUUAGUCGAAGUGCAUCGCGUGUCGCAACGGCGCGGACAAGCGAAAAGUCGGCGUUGACAUCUCUUAAUAUACAAAUUAAAAGAAGUGUGAACAGUGUAUGACAGCCGUUUAUCAGUCGCCGGCUAACUACGUAAAUACAUAGUGUACGUAGGAGUGCAUCGUGGCCAGAUAAAGGAUUUGCAGUAUGUUUAUGCGUUGGGGAGACGAGGCGGGCGGGGAGCCGGCAGUGCGCGCGCGAGUUGCCCGCGAUGCACGCGUGCCGCCCGCCGCUGCGUAGUAUUCCUUGCACCACGAGGGGCACACCAUGGCCGAGUGGGCUCUCAGUCGCGAGUGGCCCGAUCGGUCCUGCCAGCCUCAGUUCCAGGGCUACGACUACUUCCAGCAGCUCCCGCCGCAGCCGUUCGAGUCGCAAGCGCAGGCGUUCGCCCCGAUGCAGCACUCCGGCCAGCUCCCGGGCUUCAUCGCGCCCGGCAUUCUGCCGGUCCAACCCAGAGGGGAAAACCCGCGGGAGAUCCGCAACAGGGCCGAAAAGCAGCGUCGUGACAAACUCAACCAGAGCAUUUACGAGCUCGCCUCGAUGGUGCCGCCCGUAGUGGCCUCAAGCCGGAAGAUCGACAAGACCGGGGUGCUGCGCCUCACUGCGCACUUCUUGAGAUCUCAUCAGUACGUAUUCGGUGAGACGAUUGGUCGCGCGCCCACCGAGAUCAACAACGCAUCUGCCCAAGCGCUGUUGCAGUUUUUCAACGGGUUUUUACUGACUACCACGUACAAGGGAAUCGUAGUGGUGGUGUCCCAAAAUGUGCAGCAAUAUCUUGGCUAUACUGAGUUGGAACUCCUCGGCCAGAACUUAUUUACAAUUACUCACAAGGACGACCACAAGACACUCCUUUACCAAUUAAAGCCCAGGAGCCAAAUCUUGGGGCCCAACGGGGAACUUCUGAUCCCUGAUCGGCCGGACGGGAAGUCACUGGUGGCUAAAGCACUUGCUGGCGAGAAAAGGCGAUUCGUAGUAAGGUUUAAAAAGCACACGCAGCGUUCAGAGCCAAUUCAGUACGUCGCCUGCUUGGUGGAGGGUUCCUUGCGCAAGUCGGACGGCGCCUGCCGCGGGAACAACCGCUGCUGCCAGAUGGUGCGCCGCGCGCGCGCCAGGGGCGACAACCCGUGCUCCAGCGGGAAUGACGUCGUAUUCAUCGGUAUCGUGCGUCCCACAGUGGAGACGUUCAAGAAGGAGCAGCAACUGGAGCAGUUCCGCAUGGAGUACCGCACUCGUCACUCCAUCGACGGGCAGAUCAUACAAUGCGAGCAACGCAUCGGCCUGGUCACCGGCUACAUGACCGACGAGGUGCAGGGCGUCAAUGCUAUGAACUUCAUGCACCGCGAUGACGUGCGCUGGGUCAUCAUAGCUCUGCGGGAAAUGUACGACCAGCACCGCCUCUACGGCGAGUCGUGUUACCGUCUCAUGAUGAAGAACGGCCAGUUCAUAUACAUGAGGACCAGGGGCGCUCUCGAGGUGGAGUCUGGCACCAAGGCGGUGACCAGCUUCGUUUGCACGAACACCAUGAUGAGCCCGGACGAGGGCCAGCACCUCAUCAGGAUGAUGAAGAAGAAGUUCACCAUGCUCGUCAACAACAACCAGGAGCCGCCGCAGGAGCCUGAGGUCACUGACACAAACGACGAUUCAAUACCGGUCGAAGAUCCGAAACAGCUCGAGAAAGUCAUCCUCCACCUGGUGACCAACCUGCCUUCGCCCCAGCCCGACGAGCAGGACCACAGCUUGUCGCCCGAGAGGGACGGCCCUCACGUACACUUGGCCAUCAUACCACCCCGCAAAGAGCGCAUAGUAAUGGGUAUAGAGAAGAUAUACACCGUCAUUAAAAAUUUCAACAAUCCCAACAUCGACGAACAUAUUGACGUUAAGCGUAUAAGAGCUUCUAGCGUAGAGGCAACCACGCCUUCCCAUACUCCCCGUUUCGAGGAUGCAUCUCCGGAAAACACCCACGCGACGCUACCUACAAUCUCGACUAUCACCAAUAAACAUUAUCGCACUAAAACAAACUUGGACGACUUUGGAGAAAUAUUUCAGAACCUUAAACCUGCUCUGACAAAUAUAGAAGAAACCCGUGAAGUAAAAACACCGACAACCUUCGCUGAAUAUAUAGCUAAACAACCGAACAAAAAGACCAAGUUUAAUUUCACAAAAACUGAAAAGGUUUGCGAAAUUGUGAAUCUGGAAGAACCCGGUUCUAGUUUUAGCGUCACUGGAACGAAACGCUCUAUGGAUUUUUCAGCUGACGACGAUAUUUCUAAAAAGAAGUCUGCUCAGAACGAACACGAGGAAGCAGUAAAUGGACGCAGCUCUCCAACGUUAGAGAGUUUCUUCAAUGACGCCAUUCUAAACACACAAAUUUCUCAGCUUGGUGAUGCCCUGAUAUCUUUGGAAGAUACAAUCGAUCCGUUCCCCGAUCUUUUGAUAUCCCAGGACGUACAAGAUAUAUUGGGUGGCCUAGACCCGGACGAGCAGCCGGAGCCAAAUUAAAAAUAAACCGUUCAGCCAAGCUGCGACACCAACCGGAUCUCCUGUAAAUAUGACACCGUUACACGUGAAAUCAUAUUUUCCGUGAAAGAAACCAAUUAAUGAGUGGAGCUUGGAUAUUGAAUACAUAUAUGGCACCCACAUGAUUUCAAUCUCUUUGGAAGAACGUAACCUGACGAAGCGGUGUAAUACAAAGAAACAAUAACUGAAAUUGUAUAAUAUAAGUACGUAGUUGAAGUGUAAGUAGUCUAGGUGUAGAUUAUGUAUGGAACUCAUAUUUUCUACUGAACUUAUGUAUAGAUAUAAUUAUGUAAGUAUGAAUUUGAAUGUGAAAGAGUAUAUUUUUAAUCUAAACGAUAGGUACCUAGUUUUUGAUAUA